ACUUCAGUUGUUUCACUUUCGUUUCACUACUGCUGAUCCCGGGUUUCGCUCAUUGCUGUUCCGUAUUACUGCGCUAUGGAGUUUCACUUGAACAACUUCCUGCUACUUUUUGCUGCCUUCCUUACCUAACUUACCCACAGGGUUGUGUUUCUGUCAAGGGCUUGGGACCUGCAGCUGUCACUCAGGUGCGGUUUGUGUAAACAGAUGUUGUGCACGUAGCAGUGGUACCUGAGGCACAGUGCACUGAUACCAGAGCAGUCCUUUAUGGGGUCAGUGACUUUGCAGAUGUGACAAGGAAGCCUGUACCUUACUUGGGUCAGUGCUACCUGAUGCACCAGAUACUGCUAAGGCUGACCAGUGGCUGAUCUCCUGUCCUGCCCUACUCUCCUGUUGCUCUCCAGCAGAAUACCUGCCCUUCUCGCCCUGCAGUCAUUCCCAAGACUCAGAUCUGGCUAAAGCCAGUCACAGCCUCUGACAGCAACACGAGCACCUCCUUGCCCCGUGUGGUACACCACAGCAAGCUCAAAAUGCACGCGUGCAGCCGGGGAGACGGCUCAGAGGCAAGGAUGAAAGCACAUCGCUUUACUUCAGCCAAGAGGCCGCGCAGCCCCUCUCAGUGCCCCCCGGGGCAACUCCGUGCAGGCGCCCAACAGCAGUUCUGGUCGAUGGCAGCGGCACGGGCGCCGCCGCGUUGCUAUGGUAACGGCGCAGCCUCCAUUUUGCCGCUCUUGGCGGUGGCUGCGUGCGCUCUGCGGGGAGAGCAGAGCGGAGGCUGUGUGUACAAAGGGACCAGCGGCUGAGCUUCGCUCCGAGAUCCUUGUGCAGCAUUGUGAAGCUGAUGUCGCGGGCUGCAUCCCGCGCAGAUCGCGAAGUACAGUUUGGAGAGAUGAAGCAGAGCCUUGCUCAGUAAUUCAACACUUCCACAAAUUUUAAAUGAGAGAAGAUUCAGCCUCCUUGUGUUAAUCUACUUGCCGUGUAUGACUAAAAGUGCUAUGUAUUAUUCUGAGCCGACUCAUAAUGAUGAAGCUUUCGUGUAAACCGGAUUGCUGACUGUUGAUACUCUGCACCUGCAGUCACCAUGCUAUAGGCAGGUGGAAUGAGUGUUGAUUGCCUCUGCAGAAGCUGCAGUAUGGUUUGAAUAUCAGCAGUCAUCUGGGAUUCAAGCCUAGAGAAGUAAUAAAAUUGGUGAACAUGU